GCCUGGGUGGCUCAGUGGUUGAGCAUCUGCCUUUGGCUCAGGUCAUGACCCCAAGGUCCUGGGAUCAAGUCCCACAUCAGGCU
rnacentral:tRNA from 1 species